ensembl:lncRNA
UCAACUAGCCAUUGGAUUCCCGAGUCUUCAAAUCAUGAGAGUGAUGUUCCAGAACUGCCACACUGAGCUGUAAAGUUCAGCUGGGCCUCAGAGCUGUGGCACUUGGCUGCAACGCUGAGCUGUAAAACUCAGCCAUGCCUCUGAGCUGUGGCACUUAGCUGAGACACUAAGCUGGAACACUUGGCUGUAGCACUGAGCUGCUCUGCUCUGCUGCAAUAGUUUUGUAGGAUGUCUCAGUCUGCGUUGGAAGUUGUGGUCUUUUAUGGCUUGAAACACUUCACUCCAUACUCUCCUGGCCUUUCAGUCUCAAUGUUACCAGAUCUGCAAAGCCCAAGGGCCAUAUCCACUCAAGGACUUCACUCCUGUACUUCUUGGAAGAAGAAUGUUCUAUCAGGCCCUUCCAGCUCUCCUCCCUGUGCCUACUCCCCAAUCCCCAGUCUCUGAAGCAGUCUGAAGAUGCCAGCCACCUCCUUGAAUCUCAAGAUGGAAAAUCUGGGGCAGCCUGGAGCCCAGUUCAGAUGACCACCUUCUCCCAGGCAGACAGAGCUGCCUGAAUUACUGACAAGGUCCAAGUUAUCGACUGGGUUCCUACUUCUUACCUGGGGAAACAAGUCAGAUAUCCCCACAACCUUUCUUCCUCUCUGGAGACAAGAUGGUGCAGAGCGUGGGAUGCUGCUGUGAGAUGCAUGUUGCUAUGGCAACAGCUCAAGCCUCUUUGCCACCCUCUCCAAAGUGCUCUGACACAGGCAGUAGUUUCUAUGGUAACAGUGGGAGUGAAGAGUCCAUGAAGAAAGGGCUUGUGUGUGUCCUGGCAUGGGAAGAAUUGAAAAUGAACCCCGGGUAUUUAGAGGCUAUCCUGCCAUAUGUCAAAAAGAAAUAGUACCCUCACUGCAGGAAAAAUCCCA